rnacentral:rRNA from 1 species
AAUCAACGCUGGCGGCGUGCCUCAGACAUGCAAGUCGAACGAUUAAAGCUCUCUUCGGAGAGUGUAUAGAGUGGCGCACGGGUGAGUAACACGUAAAUAAUCUACCUUCGAGUGGGGAAUAACGUCCGGAAACGGACGCUAAUACCGCAUAAUGCAGCGGCAUCGCAAGAUGACAGUUGUUAAAGAUUUAUCGCUUGAAGAGGAGCUUGCGGCAGAUUAGCUAGUUGGUAAGGUAAUGGCUUACCAAGGCUACGAUCUGUAACCGGUCUAAGAGGACGGUCGGUCACACUGACACUGAAUAACGGGUCAGACUCCUACGGAGGCAGCAGUCGGGAAUUUUGGGCAAUGGGCGAAAGCCUGACCCAGCAACGCCGCGUGAAGGAUGAAGUAUUUCGGUAUGUAAACUUCGAGAGAAUAGGAAGAAUAAAUGACGGUACUAUUUAUAAGGUCCGGCU